CGGACGGGGGAGUAAUGUCUGGGAAACUGCCUGAUGGAGGGGGGUAACUACUGGAAACGGUAGCUAAUACCGCAUAACGUCGCAAGACCAAAGAGGGGGACCUUAGGGCCUCUUGCCAUCGGAUGUGCCCAGAUGGGAUUAGCUAGUAGGUGGGGUAACGGCUCACCUAGGCGACGAUCCCUAGCUGGUCUGAGAGGAUGACCAUCCACACUGGAACUGAGACACGGUCCAG
rnacentral:rRNA from 1 species